GAUCAUGGCUCAGGAUGAACGCUAGCGGCAGGCCUAACACAUGCAAGUCGAGGGGUAGAGUUCUUCGGAACUUGAGACCGGCGCACGGGUGCGUAACGCGUAUGCAAUCUACCUUAUACAGGGGAAUAGCCCAGAGAAAUUUGGAUUAAUGCCCCAUAGUGUUAUCGAAUCGCAUGGUUUGAUAACUAAAGUUCCAACGGUAUAAGAUGAGCAUGCGUCCCAUUAGUUAGUUGGUAAGGUAACGGCUUACCAAGACAAUGAUGGGUAGGGGUCCUGAGAGGGAGAUCCCCCACACUGGUACUGAGACACGGCCCAGACUCCUACGGGAGGCAGCAGUGGGGAAUUUUGGACAAUGGGCGCAAGCCUGAUCCAGCAAUGCCGCGUGCAGGAUGAAGGCCCUCGGGUUGUAAACUGCUUUUGUACGGAACGAAAAGGUUUCUAUUAAUACUAGGAGCUCAUGACGGUACCGUAAGAAUAAGCACCGGCUAACUACGUG
rnacentral:rRNA from 1 species